GUUUUUAUAAUUUAAAUGAAAAUAUUAAUUUUGUAAAUUAAAUUUAAGUAUAAACUUUAAAAGCU
rnacentral:tRNA from 1 species